GUAACACCGAAUGUGAUGACUUCCUUUAGCUCGCGCGGGCCAAAUCCUGUGGCAGAAGACAUCAUCAAACCCGAUGUCACCGCGCCGGGCUAUCAAAUCCUGGCAGGAGCCAGCCCUACGC
rnacentral:misc_RNA from 1 species